UUUGAUCCUGGCUCAGGACGAACGCUGGCGGCGUGCCUAAUACAUGCAAGUAGAACGCUGAAGAGAGGAGCUUGCUCUUCUUGGAUGAGUUGCGAACGGGUGAGUAACGCGUAGGUAACCUGCCUUGUAGCGGGGGAUAACUAUUGGAAACGAUAGCUAAUACCGCAUAACAAUGGAUGACACAUGUCGUUUAUUUGAAAGGGGCAAUUGCUCCACUACAAGAUGGACCUGCGUUGUAUUAGCUAGUAGGUGAGGUAACGGCUCACCUAGGCGACGAUACAUAGCCGACCUGAGAGGGUGAUCGGCCACACUGGGACUGAGACACGGCCCAGACUCCUACGGGAGGCAGCAGUAGGGAAUCUUCGGCAAUGGGGGCAACCCUGACCGAGCAACGCCGCGUGAGUGAAGAAGGUUUUCGGAUCGUAAAGCUCUGUUGUAAGUCAAGAACGAGUGUGAGAGUGGAAAGUUCACACUGUGACGGUAGCUUACCAGAAAGGGACGGCUAACUACGUGCCAGCAGCCGCGGUAAUACGUAGGUCCCGAGCGUUGUCCGGAUUUAUUGGGCGUAAAGCGAGCGCAGGCGGUUUGAUAAGUCUGAAGUUAAAGGCUGUGGCUCAACCAUAGUUCGCUUUGGAAACUGUCAAACUUGAGUGCAGAAGGGGAGAGUGGAAUUCCAUGUGUAGCGGUGAAAUGCGUAGAUAUAUGGAGGAACACCGGUGGCGAAAGCGGCUCUCUGGUCUGUAACUGACGCUGAGGCUCGAAAGCGUGGGGAGCGAACAGGAUUAGAUACCCUGGUAGUCCACGCCGUAAACGAUGAGUGCUAGGUGUUGGAUCCUUUCCGGGAUUCAGUGCCGCAGCUAACGCAUUAAGCACUCCGCCUGGGGAGUACGACCGCAAGGUUGAAACUCAAAGGAAUUGACGGGGGCCCGCACAAGCGGUGGAGCAUGUGGUUUAAUUCGAAGCAACGCGAAGAACCUUACCAGGUCUUGACAUCCCGAUGCUAUUUCUAGAGAUAGAAAGUUACUUCGGUACAUCGGUGACAGGUGGUGCAUGGUUGUCGUCAGCUCGUGUCGUGAGAUGUUGGGUUAAGUCCCGCAACGAGCGCAACCCCUAUUGUUAGUUGCCAUCAUUCAGUUGGGCACUCUAGCGAGACUGCCGGUAAUAAACCGGAGGAAGGUGGGGAUGACGUCAAAUCAUCAUGCCCCUUAUGACCUGGGCUACACACGUGCUACAAUGGUUGGUACAACGAGUUGCGAGUCGGUGACGGCAAGCUAAUCUCUUAAAGCCAAUCUCAGUUCGGAUUGUAGGCUGCAACUCGCCUACAUGAAGUCGGAAUCGCUAGUAAUCGCGGAUCAGCACGCCGCGGUGAAUACGUUCCCGGGCCUUGUACACACCGCCCGUC
rnacentral:rRNA from 1 species